GGGGUUGUGGCUUAGUGGUAUCGCACUUGCCUAGCAUGCAUGAGGCACUGGGUUCAAUUCUCAGCACCA
rnacentral:tRNA from 1 species